rnacentral:SRP_RNA from 1 species
GAGAGCUUGCAGUCGACCGCGUUCAGGCCUGUUGAUGGCGAGAGUGACAGUGCGGUGAGCUCACGCGAGCUCGCCGGCA